rnacentral:rRNA from 1 species
CGCCGCNGAGGGGUGGACGGCCACACUGGGACUGAGACACGGCCCAGACUCCUACGGAAGGCAGCAG